rnacentral:rRNA from 1 species
UUUGGUGAUGAUGGCGGAAGGGAACCACGCGUACCCAUCCCGAACACGACCGUUAAGCCUUCCAGCGCCGAUGGUACUUGGUCCGCAGGGUCCCGGGAGAGUAGGACGUCGCCAAGC